CUGGGAAUUGAACUCAGGACCUCUG
rnacentral:piRNA from 2 species